rnacentral:rRNA from 1 species
AUUGAACGCUGGCGGCAGGCUUAACACAUGCAAGUCGAGCGGGGUGAUGGUGCUUGCACUAUCACUUAGCGGCGGACGGGUGAGUAAUGCUUAGGAAUCUGCCUAUUAGUGGGGGACAACAUCUCGAAAGGGAUGCUAAUACCGCAUACGUCCUACGGGAGAAAGCAGGGGAUCACUUGUGACCUUGCGCUAAUAGAUGAGCCUAAGUCGGAUUAGCUAGUUGGUGGGGUAAAGGCCUACAAAGGCGACGAUCUGUAGCGGGUCUGAGAGGAUGAUCCGCCACACGGGGACUGAGACACGGCCCAGACUCCUACGGGAGGCAGCAGUGGGGAAUAUGGGACAAUGGGGGGAACCCUGAUCCAGCCAUGCCGCGUGUGUGAAGAAGGCCUUAUGGUUGUAAAGCACUUUAAGCGAGGAGGAGGCUCUUUUGGUUAAUACCCAAGAUGAGUGGACGUUACUCGCAGAAUAAGCACCGGCUAACUCUGUGCCAGCAGCCGCCGUAA